rnacentral:rRNA from 1 species
UACGUAGGGGGCGAGCGUUGUCCGGAAUCAUUGGGCGUAAAGAGCGUGUAGGCGGCUUGGCAAGUCUGACGUGAAAGCCCGCGGCUCAACCGCGGAUUGUCGUUGGAAACUGCCUCGCUAGAGUCCGGAAGAGGAGAGCGGAAUUCCUGGUGUAGCGGUGGAAUGCGCAGAUAUCUGGAGGAACACCGGUGGCGAAGGCGGCAUCCUGGACCGGCAUUGACGCUGAGGCGCGAAAGCUAGGGGAGCAAACGGG